UGGAAAAUGGCAGCCAAGUAAUUAUUUAAUCAAAGCAAUUUAAACCAAAUUUAUGUAAUUAAUCUCUUAGAUAAAACAAUCAUCAAAGUGAGGAAAUUCAAGAUUUUCAAGAAUUUUAAUCUUUACUUUCUUCCAUGCAUACUGUCUACAUGUAUGAGAAUAAAAAUUUGAGCUGUUGAAAACUUGUAUCCUAAAAGUGAAAAUAUAUCUCUUGGACCAUUGUUUGAGCUGUUUAAAUUUUUCAGAUCUUUAAAAUUAAAAAUAUGGAGAUGUUGCAGUUUCAUUCAAUACAUGGAGGGUAUUGAAUGAGUGCAUAGACAUAUAUUUUUUCAUUGACACAACUAGACUAUAGUGUAACGCUUGCACUUAGCAUGUAUUUAGAUCUACCUAUGUUUCUGUAAGGCAUAUGAUAUCACAUCAAAAUAUCAAAAUGUUUGUUCACACUAAGAACCACAUCAAUGAAUACCUAAGCCGGAACUUGUUUGAAAUGAUUUAACUAAUAUUUUAAUUUAAAAAAAGUCACAGCCCUAUUACAAGCUUUCUAGAAAGUAUACUUCUUAAAGGAAUCAUAUCUGCAGGUGCCUUAUUAGCAAAACAUGAGGACCUCAGGAAAAUCUGACUGUUCUAUCAAUUGUAAAAACUGUAUAUCAAUAAAACAUAAUUUAUAAAUUUAACUACUGUACAUUUCAGGCACUUCACCAUGCACUCUUGAUGUAAAGUACUCCAACCUUUGGGAUUAUGCCCAACAAGUGCACUUUUCCCAUCAUUCUCAACCUGUUGGUCCAAUAUGUUUUAGGACACCAAGAAUGUUCCAUGUUUUUGGUGUUUGUGUAGAGGGAUCAGGACUUCAUGGAAGUGUCAGUCUCAACAUGCUUGGUACUUUUAUAUCUGGAAAGUGAAAAAACAAUGCACCAGGUUGCCUAAGUGUACUGUCCUGAAGUCAUCAAGAUAUGGGCACAAUAUCCUACAGCUUAUAGAUGAUCCAGAAAAUCCAUAGGAAGUCAUUUCUUAAGUUAAGCCCUCAAACUGUUAUCCAAAUACCACCAUUUUUGUGCAAGUGCAAUGGAGCCAAGUGUUAUAGCAUGUAAAGAAUAUAUUAACUCUGUGGAGGUAAAAAUGUAUUUACUGAAACAAUUGCCUCCCAGAGGUCUUUUACCUGAAGUACAGUAAUGAUGCAGCAAGACAUUAGUAUCUAUUUGAACAAAUUGGGCAGUUCUUCAAAUCUGACAUAGCUAAAAUACUGUGUGGUCCCGAAAACAGAAAUAAAGUUGGAAAUUGACAAUUAUGUGAAAACGGUUGAAAGAGAAAGAGCAGUCUUUUAUUCUUGAGUAUAAUUGGAGUUCCUAUAACAUAGUGGUCAUGUAUGGACUGUCAUUAUUUUCUUCAUUUCAAAUAUAGCUUAUGAUACAAGUAGAUGCUUCAUAAGAUAAGACUGCAAGUGUGUUGCAUAACUGGUGCUCUAAGGACUAAUGCUAUAUUAACAAGUGUGUGGAUCAUUGAUGCAUAUAUAUUAUUUAAUGGCUGCCUAUAUUAUUUUUGGAUGUCAGUUUACCAGUUACCAAUUUCCAUCAUUUUUACAAAAUGUUUAUUAGAUCAUUAAGUUUAGUGUAAUACAACAUUUGUCAUUUUACUCUAAGUUAUAGAAUUCUAUUGAACCUAUGCAUGUUAUGAAUUGAUCAACUGUCAACUGAUCUUAAGCUUUGAUCUAGAUUGAAAAUGACUGAAAAUGUAAAGAAACAUUAAGCUUCAGUACUUGUUGUCAAAUUUUAAACAUUUUAUAGUUGUAGAAUAUGAAAAAUACUUUAUAACAAUGACAGGUCAGUUGAAUUAUUAUGUUGAUAUUAGUGUAGAAUCACAUUGUAAAUUAUCACCAAUCCUUAAAAUUGUUAAAAGAAGCAGCAAAAUCAAAGAAUAUGCAAUGGUAGCUAGGCAACCAAUAUUCCCUUCAGUUGGGAAGGAUUUUAAACAGGUGCAUCAUAAUAAAAAUACUUUAUAUGUUUGAUCACAUUGUAAAUAAUUGAAAAAUAAUCAUCACUAAGUUAUAAAAUAUUAAAAUAUAGAACCUUAAAUGUACCUGAAAAUAAAUGUUGUGAACAUGAUAUUAGAAGUAUCAUUUUUAAUUUAUAUUACUAAGGAAUGGUGAGGCAGGCUGUUCUCUGAAUACCUUAUUAAGUUCAGUUACACAUUAUUUGUGGUAUUGUUUUCAUUUUUUUAUAAUAGCACAAAUUGCUAUUUUUAACUAAGUUGUAAUCUCCUGUAUGCCUGUAAAAAUUGGAAAUUUAGAAAUUUAUCAAAAAAAAUAAAAAAUUAUUCAUUGGUUGCUAAGCAACCUAAUUAUAUGCAGAUACAGUUUUAAGUAAGGAACAUUUUUUGUAGGAAUUAUUUUUAUGUCAUUUUAAUUAAAUAGAAUGCUAGUUAAUUCAAAGUCCUUACUUUGUUGUGAAACAGUGUAGUUAACACUAGAUGUUACUUAACAUAUUUUUAUGAAAUUAUAUAUAUUAUCUAUAUAAAUUCAAAACCUAUAGUAAAGUGAGUUUAAGGAUACUUUGAUCCAAGAACUAUUAUUAAGAUUGUAUUUGCAGUUUUAAUAGUUGUAAUUUGUUUUUUUUUUGUAAUCAUGCUGCUUUGUUCAUGGUAUUUUGAGAUAUUUUUUAAUCAAACUUAAAAUUUGUAAAAUUUAGAAGGAAAUUAUGGAAGAUAUUGUGGUUGCUUGGCAACACUGACUAAUUUUUACUUAUUGCUUUGGUAUAAUGUAAAUCAGUUAAACAGCAGAUAGAGAUAUUUAUGUAAUAUGGAAAGUAACAGUGAUUUGAUCAAAUGCUUAUUGGUUAUUGUAAAACAUACAGAGCAAUAUACAUGGCAAAAAUACUGUGUUCUGCUAAAAUUUGCAUGACUUACUAACACUAUUCAAGUGUACAGAACAUGGAUUGUAUGUUAUAUCUUCAAUGGAAAAUUAUUGAAAAGUAAUUAAUAGGCAUUGUUUAUAAUUUUAUUGAAAACUUAUUUAUUUCUGCUGCUUUGUUAGCUGUAUUUUACCAUGAAAUUUGUAUUUACAAAAUAAAUUACACAAAUUUAGGAUAUUCCAUGGUUGCUAGGUAACAGAAUAUAGCUUCCUUCAUGUUGUAUUUGUGUAAUUAUGCCCUUUAUUUAGUGUUACUACCUUUGAUGAUGUUAUACUUGAGUCAUCUUUCAUUUACUGUUGUAUUAAACUGUUGUCUGCUGUCAGAGUAAAUAUCUGAAUAAAGUUAAUAAAUGAAUGAUAAAUGGA